UCCUAUCUAUGUUAAGAGGCACGUCAC
rnacentral:piRNA from 1 species